AUUGAACGCUGGCGGCAAGCCUAACACAUGCAAGUCGAACGGAGUGGCGGACGGGUGAGUAACGCGUAGGUAACUGCCUAUUAGAGGGGGAUAACUCUUGGAACCGAUCGCUAAUACCGCCUACUAGUCGAUGGACCUGCGUUGUAUUAGCUAGUAAGUGGGGUCAUGGCCUACCUAGGCGACGAUACAUAGCCGACCUGAGAUGGUGCACGGCCCCAAUGGGAAGGAGACAAGGGCCAGACGCCUACGGGAGGGAGCAGUAGGGAAUCUUCGGAAAUGGGGGGAACCCUGACCGAGCAACGAGGCGGGAGUGAAGAAGGUUUUCGGAUCGUAAAGCUCUGUUGUUAAGGAAGCGGUACUUGACCAGAAAGGAACGGCUAACUACGUGCCAGCCGCCGCGGUAAUAC
rnacentral:rRNA from 1 species